rnacentral:rRNA from 1 species
GACGAACGCUGGCGGCGUGCUUAACACAUGCAAGUCGAACGGAAAGGCCCUGCUUUUGUGGGGUGCUCGAGUUGCGAAAGGGUGAGUAACACGUGAGUAACCUGCCCCUGACUUUGGGAUAACUUCAGGAAACUGGGGCUAAUACCGGAUAGGAGUUCCUGCCGCAUGGUGGGGGUUGGAAAGGUUCGGCGGUUGGGGAUGGACUCGCGGCUUAUCAGCUUGUUGGUGGGGUAGUGGCUUACCAAGGCUUUGACGGGUAGCCGGCCUGAGAGGGUGACCGGCCACAUUGGGACUGAGAUACGGCCCAGACUCCUACGGGAGGCAGCAGUGGGGAAUAUUGCACAAUGGGCGGAAGCCUGAUGCAGCAACGCCGCGUGCGGGAUGACGGCCUUCGGGUUGUAAACCGCUUUCGCCUGUGACGAAGCGUGAGUGACGGUAAUGGGUAAAGAAGCACCGGCUAACUACGUG